rnacentral:misc_RNA from 1 species
UUGGAAUUGAAACCCUUUGCAGGAGGCUGUUGCUGUGCCCCUUGGGUAUGUGCACGUCUCUUGUGUGUUUCUUCCUUUAUCUCCCACCUGUGCACUGAUUUUGUAGACUACCUUUGGUGUCUAUGAUUAUAAUAUACAUCACACAUUAUAUUGAAUGUAUUAGUUUUGAGGCCCUUUUGUGCGCCUUUAUAAACAAAUAUA